UCACACCCUGCGAGUCAGCUGACUGCUGUGUCAUCGCUGCUGCUUUCUGCAUCAUCGCACUGCCCCAGCCCUGGUUCCUGCCGUUUCCUCAUCACAAAGCAUACAGCUAGGCAAAAAGCGACAGUUUGAAAGUGUUCUUUUCCUGCUGCUACCUAGCAUUUCUUCCGUGAGGAGUAUUUACCUUGUGUAGCCAGGAGCAGAGAAGCAGUCUGAAUGCACACAAUGGCUUCACACUUGGCAGCGUGCAUUUCCAGCAGAGCAGGUACUGCCUGGAGCCUGGUGGCCAGCCUGCCCCUGGUGGAGCGCGGCUGGGUCCCCAGCACUUGUGGGAAUAGCGUGCGGGCUUCUCACGCCGCGCCGCUCUACCUGCAGGAGUAAAGGCUAGGACAAAGGAGAUGCUGAUGCCGUUUGCCUGGCUGGGGCCUGGGCAGGCAGACUCCACCGAACUGAUGCUGUGUGACCCUCCCAGCUCCCAGUUCGGGCUGGUCACGGGGGCUGGCGCAGAUUCCCGCUCCUCAGUUAGAACACGGUUGAAAGGAGAAACCAGGCUCACUGACCUAAAUCCAUCCCGGUCCUCUCUGGAUGCGGGGACAGCUGUCGACUAGCAGUGACACAGCCAGCCAUCAAGUGGAGAAUCGUUGCGACUGCAGUCUGGGUGCAGGUGGAGCCUGGGAGAUUGACAGUUUAAUUGCGGUCCUCCGAUGGCUUCUUCUCAUUUUCCUAAAUAAUCGUGCGCGCUAAGUGUACAGUUGCCUGGAUUAGUCUGCCUUCCACAGUCUUCGUCUGCGCUGGUUGGAAAUCAGGGUGCCAGGCAAGACUGUUUAGUGCUGGCUCCUUCCUGCGUGAUGUUAUUCAACUAGGAUGGGUCACACUGACAACAAAGAAGGAAGCAGAAGGCAUCACUUUAUCUUCUCUUGUGAUGUUAGCGGAACAUAACCGUUCUCCUCCGCAAUGAUGCCCUCCUCUGUGUGUGUGCGCGCGUGUGUUUGUGAGUGUGUUUUAAUUCGUCUAAUCGAGGAGCCUAACAGAUAUCAUCAUGGAUGUGUGCCUUUUUAAAAAUGAUUUGGAAAAAAAGGCAGCCUGUGGAGACAGCGAUUUGAGACAGCUGCACAUUUAGGUUAUUGCCAAUUUGAAAUACUUUGGUUUGUGAAGCCGAGCCCUAAGAGACAAGCUGGGUAACUGAGAAGGAGAUCGUAGAUAAAGAAAUAAAAAUGACAAGCGUAAUGGAGGCUCUGUGGCAGGACUGUCAGAGCAUCAGUUCCUGGAUGGCAAUUUCGCCAGGCUGAGAUUGAAUAAUUCAUAGAUUGAAAUUACCCUGCUUUCACCUUUCCAUUUAAACCGGCAUGAUCUGAAUCUCUAAUAAAUUUUCAAGAUAAAGUAAAAUGCCAGUUUGAAUCUGAAGAGCUUUUAAAACCAGAUGCUGCAUCCCUGAAUCUUUCGGUAUCUUUCACAAUUAUCCUGUGAGAACUGCACUUCAUCACGAAGCACCAUUACCAGUGAAAAUUACUGUGAUUACAAUAGCAACAGUAGAAUACCGUCAAAUGAUCUCUAAUUUACCUAAUUUGCUAAGACUGUGUGCUUUUAACGCCCAUUGUAUGUCACCCUGCCGGGCACCCUGGAUCUCUCUUGCACCGAAACAAAAGUGAGGCAGUGUGUGUGAUACCUUAACUCCCAAAGCAAAGAACAUUCUCCUAGGUUACAACGUCUCUUUCGUUGGGUUUGCAUUUGUGUGUGUGUGUGUGUGUGUGUGUGUGUGUGUAUGUGUUUCCAUUGCCUAUACCCCAAAUGUCCAUUUUGGGAAUUGGUGAGUGUGUUGUAUAUUUGGGGUUGAUUCUUGGAUACAGGAGAGCACAGACUUCUUAAUUUAUCCACCCUUUUAAUUUUAAUGUAUACAAGCAUGUGUUUACCAGAAGGGAGGGAAGAUUCUGUUCUAGGAGGAGUUUAAAAAUGCAGCCAAGAUGAAGUGUUCAUCUUUGUUUCUUUUUUGAAACUCCUUUCUGCUUUCAGGUUAGAGAGCCUUUCAGGGAAUUAUAAUCCUGGUGUGAUGUGUUUAAAACAAAACCAAAAACGUUUCAGAUUGAGAAGAAGCUCAAGAGACAUCCAGUAAUAACUCUGUGCAGCCCUUAGUGAGAGCAUGUGUGCCUGAGUGAGUAUAGGAAGCUUUGGUCCUAGACUUUGGUUGUGUUUGUGUCUGCUCGCUCUCCAAGUAGAAGUCUCACCCAAAUAAGUGUUGCAGGUUUUGUCUCGGGGGUCACUGUGCCACCUGAGAGAGUGGCAUGGCUCUUCAAGCCUCCGUGGAGAACAGACUGUAAUCAUUUGAUAGGCACAGGCACUUGUGGAAUUUCACCCUCAGUAGCAGACAGUAUGUGGGCUUCUGCUAGUCAAGUGAUUUAAGUUUGACUCUAGGUAGGGUUUCCGAGGAAUGACAAUCUCUGCGGAGGAAGGUAGGGUUGAAACAUACCUGUCUAAUGUUGCGAGUUGUUUGCUGAAGACCCUGAGCUCUGGUAUAUUUCUUAAUCCAUUAUCCCAGCUUUACCUCUUCCUGCACCCCUGCAAACACCUUUGGCAGAAGGAGGCAACAUCAUUGCACUGGAUAAUGAUGGUUCCGACCCUCAGAAUCUUUCACAAUCUGGAAGCGAGAGUGGAUUUCUUCUUCCAUUUUACGCCUCUCCAAACAAUAACAGGACCCUCGGGGGUCCUGCCCAGCAGCCAGGACAGUAAAUCCAAUAGUGGACAGUGACAACAAGGCUCAAGAGAGAAUCUUCCUACCGCCCUUUCCUUAACAAGGAAUGUCCCAUGUCAGCUGUGUAGUCCUUGGGGACCACAGGUAAUAAAGAAUAGUCAUGGCAGGGGCUUCCCUGGUGGCCCAAUGGUUAAGAAUCCAUCUUGCAAUGCAGGGGACGCCGGUUCGAUCCCUGGUCUGGGAACUAGGAUCCCACAUGCCGCGGGGCAACUUAGUUCAUGUGCCACAUCUAGAGAGCCCACAUGCUGUAACUACAGAGCCCACGUGCUCUGGAGAGUGCAUGCUACAACUAGAGAAGCUCUGCCACUGCAAUGAAGAGCCCGUGCACUGCAAUGAAAGAUCCCGCUUGCCGCAACCAAGACCCAACGCAGCCAAUAAUUAAUUAAUUAAUUAAUUAAUUUAAAAAACCCCAACUCCAUGGCCAAACUAAAGAGACAAUAAAAGAACAGUGGUUAUCAGGGGUUUGGAGAGAGAGAGAUGAAUAGACAGAGCACAGAGGAGUUUUAGGGCAGUGAAAAUACUCUGUAUGAUACUAUUAUGGUGGAUACACGUCAUUAUACUUUUGUUCAAACCCACAGAAUGUACAACACCAAGAGUGAAGCCUAAGGUAAAGGAUGGACUCUGGGUGAUUAUGAUGUAUCAAUGUAGGCUCAUCAUUUGUAACGACUGCAUCACUCUGGGGGGGGGAAAUGUUGAUAAUGGGGCGGCUAUGCAUGUGUGAGGACAGGAAGUAUAUGGGAAAUCUCUGUACCUCCAUCUCAAUUUUGCUGUGAACUUUAAAUUGCUUUUAAAAAGACACGGAAGUCUUAAUGUCUUAAAAGAGGGGGAAAAGGAGGGAAAAGAAAUACAGUAGAGCAAUUCUGAAAAGAAAAAAAACCCACCAACAACAGCUUAGCACUUUCAAAACAUACCCCCACCCAUCAUCACACUUAAUGCUCACGUUAACCUUGCAGGGUAGGUGUGAUUUCCACCCCCAUCUUACAGAGAAGGUAACAAGCUCUGAGAGGGUAAGUUAAACAAGGUCACUUGGUUCGUAAGUGGUAGCUAAAUUCUUUUCACAAUAUCAAAGACAAUUGUCUUUAACGUGCAGUUGUCAUCAAUUAUACUUCAAGAAAGCUGAAUGUAAUUGUCUUAGUAGCACAAGUAGAGAGACACAGUAUAAAUUUCUUUUAACUGUUAAUAAUCAACUUGCCUUUGUAUGUUUAAGGCAAAGUGACUGAAAUUUAAGAAGUAUUUGUCCUUUUAUUUUUUUAAGCACCCUGUAUAUUAAAGCUUAUUAUUCUGUUUUAUUCAUUUAAAUGUUAAAGGCUUGAAAAAUUGAAAAGCAUACCUAUCAGUGUGUAAAAUAAGGAUUUAUUUCGGAAACCUAAGAAUGAGCAUUAGGAAUUUUAUCAACAUAAUUUAUUCCAUUAAUAAAUUAAGGGGAAAAUAUAGGACUGUACCAAUAUAUGACAAAAGAGUAAUUGAUAUAAUUCAGUAAGCAUUCAUGAUGAAAUCUCUAAGUAAAAUAAAAAUUGAAAAUUUUAAAACAAGAUAGAAUAUUUACUGGAAGCUAACAAUGAAAUACUAAAGAAAUUUCUGUUAAAAUCAGAAAUAAGAUAGAGCUGUCCAUAUUGCCGCUAUUCUUCAGAAUGUGUUUUGGAGGCAGCUAAAAUUUGUGGGGGCGUGGCCAGAGAAAGGGGUAGCUACACAGAGCUGGGGCCCAAGAAAACUGGAUGGCCACUCCCUCAGAUCCUGGGCCAAGAACUGAGAAGCACAUGUACAAAGCCUGACUCUGUGAGUUCUGUUGCUGGGAAGCUGAGAGCUGAACAGAGAUAUUAGCGAGCACACAGAGUUUGGAGAAUCUGGGAUUGUGGCCCAGCCAGAGUGGACACUCCUCACUGAAAACAUCAGGCAUCCAAUUGAGACCCUAGAAAAGCCAUAUCUUAGUGAAAUUUAUGUCCUAGAAUAAAAGCCAUUCCCUAGGACUUAGGGCAAAAAUAGUAAUAGACUAUUCUAAGAAACCUUAAAACAAAGUCUGACUAGAUCAAGAUCUACCAAUUAUGUCACUAUUCGAUACCACCAAAACAAAACUUAUCACCCUUUAAAGGGAGACAACAUAAUCACUUCUCCCUAUAAUGUAUCAUCUACAAUGUCUAGCAUGCAAUAAAAAAUUAUUAAACCUGCAAAGAAUCAAGGAGAAAAAAUGGAAACAGAUCUUGAAAGACCCAGAUGUUAGGAUUAGUAUAUGAGGAUUUUAAAACACCUAUUAUAAAUAUCCUUAAGGAUAUGAAAUAAAGCAUGAAUAACUAUGAUGUAAGAGAUGGGGAAUCUUAGUCAAUAUAUAAAAGCAAUAAAAAAGAGCCAAUGGAUAUUAAGCUGAAAAAUAUAAAAUCUUAAAUAAAAGAUCGCCUGGAUAAGCAAUUUACUAUUAAGUAAAUUGGACACUACAGAAGAAAGCAUCAGUGACCUUGAAGACAGCUCAAUAGAAAUUUUCCAAAUUGCUGAACAUGAAAAAAAAAUUUUUGAAAUAAAAGCAAAGCCUCAGUGACUUGUGGGACAAUAUAAAAUGAUCUAACACAGUGUUAAGUGGAGAUGAAGGAGAGGAGAGAGAAUAGAAAAAAAUAUUUAAGCAAUAGUAUCUGAGAAUUUUCCAAAUUUGAUGAAAAACAUUAAGAAAAUCAUACCUCAGCAUAUCACAAAGUACUAAAAAUCAAAGAUAAAUUAUAAAGCAUUCAGAGGAAAAGAAAAACACUGUGUGUCAGGGGACAAAGAUAAGAAUUAUGAAUGACUACUACUCACAGAAAACAAUGAAGGUCAGAAAACAAUCUAAUGGUAUGUAUAAAACACAGAGAGAAAACUGUUAACCUAGAAUUCAACAGCCAGUGAAAAUAUCCUUCAAUAAAUGAGGUUAAAAAAAUUUUUUUUGGAUAAAAGAAAGCUAAGAGAAUUCAUAACAAGCAGAUCCUCACUUCAGAAAAUUCUUAAAGGAAGUUCUUCACACUGAAGAGAAAUGACAACAGAUGGAAACUCAGUUAUACAGAGAGAGGUCACUACCACCACUCUUAGUAAAUACAUGGGUACAUUUUGAAACACGUGCUUUCUUAUGUUUUAAAUUUCUUGAAAACAAAAUUGAUCAUUUAAAUUAACUAUAAUAACAUUUUGUUGUGGAUUUUUAUAACGUAAAUGGAAGCAAAAUAUAUGACAAUUCAUGAAGAAUGGAGUGGAGCAUAUGGAGUGACACUACUGCAAGGUUCUCAUGUUUUACAUGAAGUGGUAGUGGACUAUGACAAAUUAAGAAUGCAUAAUAAAAUCCCUAGAGCAACAGUUUAAAAAAAAAAUACAAAGAGGAAUACCUAAAAAGUCAAUAGACGUUCAACAAAUGUUGCGUCACAAUUGGGUCUUCAUAUGCAAAAGUUAACUUCUGUCCAUACAAAAAUUAACUCAAAGUGGGUCACAGAUCUAAAUAUAAAACCAAACUCUAAAAUGUAUAGAAGAAUACAUAGGAGAAAACCUCUGUGACCCUGGGUAAGGCAAAGAUUUCUUAGAUACAACAACAAAAGCAAGAUCCCUAAAAAGACAAAUUGAUAAUCAAUUAGACAUAAUCAGCAAUAGAAACUUCUGCCAUUUAUGAAAAGAUAAUGAAGAAGAUGAAAAGACCAGCUACAAACUGGGAGAAAUAUUUGCAAACGAUGUCCGAUAAAAGAUUUGUAUCCAGAAAAUAUAAAGAACUCUCAAAAUUCAAUAACAAGAAAAUAACCCAAUUUUUAAAAAUGGUCAAAAGAUUUGAACACAUGCUUCGCAAAAGAAAAUAAGCAAAUUUUAAAAAAAUGUUCAACCUUCAUCAUUAGGGAAAUGCACAUUAAAACCACAAUGAGGGCUUCCCUGGUGGUGCAGUAGUUGAGAGUCCGCUUGCCAUUGCAGGGGACACGGGUUCGUGCCCCGGUCCGGGAGGAUCCCGCAUGGUGCGGAGCGGCUGGGCCCGUGAGCCAUGGCCGCUGAGCCUGCGCGUCCGGAGCCUGCGCUCCGCAACGGGAGAGGCCACAACAGUGAGAGGCCUGCGUACCAAAAAAAAAAAAACCACAACGAGAUGCCACAAAUGUCUAUUAGAAUGGCUAAAAUUAUAAUGACCAUAUCAGUGUUGGUGAAGAUGUAGAGUAAAUGAAACAUUCCUACACUGAUGAUGGCAAUAUAAAAUGAUGCAACCACGGGAAAACAGUUUGACAGUUUUUUAAACAUAUACCUGUUGUAGGAUUCAGCCAUUCUACUACCAGAUAUUAACCCAAGAACAAAGAAAGCGUUUGUCAAUACAAAGACUUGCACACAAAUGUUCAUAGAAAUUCUAUUUGUAAUGGCCCAAAACAACACAAUCCGAAAGUUCAUCAGUAGAUGAAUGGAUAAACAAAUGGAAUACUUCUCAGUAACAGAAAGUAACGAACUAUUGAUAUACCCAGGUAUAAGGAUGAACCAAAAUUCAUUAUGCUGAUGAAAGAAGCCAGACAAAAACGAGUAUAUAGAGUAUGAUUCCAUUUGUAUGCAAUUCUAAAAAACGCAAACUAAUCUACAGUGACAGCAUAUCUGUAGUUACUGCCUGGGGUUAAAAGAAAACAGGGAGGAGAAGAGAUGGGGAGAAAGAUUAUAAAAGGAGCACUGAGGAAAUUUCAGGAGUGAUGGACACGUUUAUCAUCUUGGUUAUGGUUAUGGUUUUGCAGGUGUAUACAUAUGACAAAACAUAAAAUUGUACACUUUAAAUAUGUAUAGUUUAUUGUAUGUCAAAUAUGCCUUAAUAAAGCUGUUUUUUAAAAAGCCAAUAGAGGAAAUAGAAUACUAAAAAAUAUUUUAUUAACUCCAGAGAAAGUAGGAAAGGAGAAAUAAAAAUUAAACAUUUCCACUAAUCAAAAUGUACCAUUAAGAAAAUACAAAGGGAAGUCACAAGAGAAAAAUUAUGUAUAUAUAAAUAGAUAAGUAGAUAGAUAUACAUAUCUCAAGGGGCUUGAAUGCAAAAUACAUAAAAUCCACUACAAAUUAACAUUUUAAAAAAGGAAAACUUAUUUUCAGGGCUUCCCUGGAGGCGCAGUGGUUGAGAGCCCGCCUGCUGAUGCAGGGGACACGGGUUCAUGCCCCGGUCCGGGAGGAUCCCGCAUGCUGCGGAGCGGCUGGGCCCGUGAGCCAUGGCCGCUGAGCCUGCGUGUCCGGAGCCUGAGCUCCGCAACCGGGAAAGGCCACAACAGUGAGAGGCCCGCAUACCACCAAAAAAAAAAAAAAAAAAGAAAAA